rnacentral:rRNA from 1 species
UACGUAGGGCGCAAGCGUUGUCCGGAGUACUGGGCGUAAAGCGCACGCAGGCGGUCUGCUAAGUUUGGAGUGACAGUUGGUGGCUUAACUGCCAAAGUGCUUCGAAAACUGACAGACUUGAGGGCUUCAGAGGGACACGGAAUUCCGGGUGGAGUGGUGAAAUGCGUAGAGAUCCGGAGGAACACCAAAGGCGAAGGCAGUGUCCUGGGGAGUACCUGACGCCG